rnacentral:rRNA from 1 species
ACAGAUCGUUCAGAGUUUGAUCCUGGCUCAGGAUGAACGCUGGCGGCGUGCUUAACACAUGCAAGUCGAACGAAGCACUUGAAGUUUUUCGGAAUGGAAAGUGACUGAGUGGCGGACGGGUGAGUAACGCGUGGGUAACCUGCCUCAUACAGGGGGAUAACAGUUAGAAAUGACUGCUAAUACCGCAUAAGCGCACAGUACCGCAUGGUACGGUGUGAAAAACUCCGGUGGUAUGAGAUGGACCCGCGUCUGAUUAGCUAGUUGGUGAGGUAACGGCUCACCAAGGCGACGAUCAGUAGCCGACCUGAGAGGGUGACCGGCCACAUUGGGACUGAGACACGGCCCAA